AAUCGUUGCUACACGAAGAACCUUACCUGGGUUUGACAUAUAGGUUGUAGGGAACUGAAAAGGGACCGACCUUCGGGAGCUUAGUACAGGUGUUGCAUGGCUGUCGUCAGCUCGUGUCGUGAGAUGUUCGGUUAAGUCCGCUAACGAGCGCAACCCUCGCCGUAUGUUACAAGUGUCAUACGGGACUGCCGGUAAAAGCCGGAGGAAGGUGAGGAUGAUGUCAAGUCAGCAUGACCUUUAUAUCCAGGGCUACACACACGCUACAAUGGUCUGUACAAUUGGUUGCCAAGCCGCGAGGCGGAGCCAAUCCGUAAAGCAGGCCUCAGUUCAGAUUGCAGUCUGCAACUCGACUGCAUGAAGCCGGAGUUGCUAGUAACCGCAGGUCAGCAAUACUGCGGUGAAUACGUUCCCGGGUCUU
rnacentral:rRNA from 1 species